GGAAGGGGUCCGGCUGGUCGAGGACCCUGCUUGGAAAGCAGGUGCGUGCCGUCACGGCGCGUCGGGGGAUCAUGGCCCCUCCCUUCCUCCA
rnacentral:tRNA from 1 species